GGUAUGCAAUGUGGUUGAAGAAAGAAAAGCAUCAUAUACUAAGUAGAACCAAGAAGAAUGCAUAUGCAAUAGAGCAGCACCUCAGAGACUUUGCCUACUAAAAUACCCUGCAUCAACCACAUACUACUUUCUAAUCAUACAUUGCAGUCCAAGUUAUGCUGUUUUAUUGUUUGGAGCUUCUUCAUUGGGACUAGGAAAUUCAUCAAAUUUAAAGAAUGACUCCGCCUGAAAAGAUGUAAAUGGAAAAGAAGAAUAUUCAUAUCAGGAUUUUAGAACAAGAAGAUCAAUAAAUAAAUGCCUGUCCUGCUCCUGCAACUAAACAGAAAUUAGUAAAUCUCAACAAGGUGAAAGUAAACAAAGAGAAGGGCUUUUGUUGAUAUGCUAUGUACAGCCCAUUUGCCCAAGCCCAAUUACAACACCCAAUACCCAACAGCCCAAUAGCCCAAAAUCAUCAAAAAAUAGGAAAAAACCCUAACCCUAGCCUCUGACAGCCACUUGCGCCGCACCCAGGCCUGCUGGUCAACCACCCCACCGCCGUAGCCACCAACUGCUCUGCCACUUGCGCCGCGCACGUCCCAUCGUCCUCCAUCAGCC
rnacentral:lncRNA from 1 species